rnacentral:rRNA from 1 species
GCACAAGCGGUGGAUGAUGUGGAUUUAAUUCGAUGCAACGCGAAAACCUUACCUACCCUUGACAUGUCUGGAACCUUGCUGAGAAGCGAGGGUGCCCUCGGGAGCCAGAACACAGGUGGCUGCAUGGCUGUCGUCAGCUCGUGUCGUGAGAUGUUGGGUUAAGUCCCGCAACGAGCGCAACCCUUGUCAUUAGUUGCUAUCAUUUAGUUGGGCACUCUAAUGAGACUGCCGGUGACAAACCGGAGGAAGGUGGGGAUGACGUCAAGUCCUCAUGGCCCUUAUAGGUGGGGCUACACACGUCAUACAAUGGCUGGUACAAAGGGUUGCCAACCCGCGAGGGGGAGCCAAUCCCAUAAAGCCAGUCGUAGUCCGGAUCGUAGUCUGCAACUCGACUACGUGAAGUCGGAAUCGCUAGUAAUCGUGGAUCAGAAUGUCACGGUGAAUACGUUCCCGGGUCUU